UUCAGACUAGACGUUACAGACUGUCACACUGUAGACUAAACACUAAUAAGAAGGCUGGAUAAAUAAAUAAACUGUGCAGAAGAAAUCUCGGUCCGUGCUGUUACACUGACUGUAUCAGGUGAGUCUGAGACAACAUCUGGAUUUUAUAGUUUUAAAUUUACAGUAUAAUUGUGCUGUAAAAAAACUUAUUCAACUUAAAUUGAGGGAAAAACAUUGGAAAAUUAGUUCUAAAUAUACAUUAGCUCAAUACAGUCAAUACAAGUUAAAGGUCAUUUUGUUUGUUUGUUUCUUAGUAAUUCAUAGUAAUAUAAAUAAUGUAUUAAUAGAAAAUAAUUUAAAUUUGGGCAACUUGGGAUCAAAUUCCUGUUGGCUUUAUGUAGUCAGUCAGUCCCUAGUGGAUGGUGGGAUCGAGGGGAGGUGAAGUGGACAUGUCUCAGUGCUCAGGGCUGUGAUGGUUAUCAGUUUCUUUACACACUCUCCUCAUUGCUCCAGGCUCAGGUGUGAUAUACAGCCUAGUGGAUACAUGUGAUCCUGUAUAUUUAACAAAAACAAUUCACCCAGUGAUGAGAAUCAACACAUUGUUAAUACAUCAUCUGUUGACUUGGUGUAAUUAGUUUUACAUCCAUAUUCAGUAUUUGCUUCUAUAUUGUGUAUAAAGUAAAAACCUAUAAUUUAGUUUUCCCUGUGUAACAGAGACACCACGUCCAGUACUGAGUGUAUCUACACAGAGCUGGGUGACUGAAGGAGACUCAGUGACUGAAUCUGGAAAAAACAGUAAUCCUGCCGAUGUCACAGUGCAUGGCUCAAGUUCUAAACCCAGUACUUCCACAGUAACAGUGGCUGCAGGACUGGCUGUGGCCGUUUUGUUCAUCAUUUUAUUCGUCUUAAUAAUUCUCCUGUGGUGCCGGAAAAAAAAGAAAGAAAAGCAGCAGAAAACCAAUCAGACAUCAGAGCAGAAUCAGAGACGGUCAGGAGCUGAAGACUCUCAGUCAGGACACACCCCACCUCAGGCUGGUCAGACUCUGUCUCAAUCAUUUUACACCAAUUUACAUUUGUUAACAAAAACCUUCCUUGUUUUCUGUAGGAAGUGCUAACACUUAGCCACGGCGAAUCACACAAAUUAACAAUACAAAUUGAACAACUGACUUUAUGUGUGAUAUAGUGUUGUGAUUAACACACUGCACUGUUUAUGUACUUCACUGUGUUCAGGUGAAGAUGCAGCCGAGAGCGGAGAAGUUACUUACGCACAAGUCACAAAGAAUAAGAAGACAAAUGGGAAGAAGGAUGUUGAUGCUGAACCCAGUGGUAGUGAUGUGACUUAUGUUGAACUUGAAAUGAAACAGAAGAAAACAGCUAUAAAGAAAACAGGUAAAAACAAUCAUGACAUAAUGUGUGUAGAUGGAUUCAAUAUUUAUGGAUAUUAAUUCAAUAUUUAUUUUUUCUAACUAGAAAAAUCCGGUGUGGAUGCUGAUACUGUAUAUUCAGAGGUGAAGCUAAACACUGAGUAAUUCAUAUUUCUCUGUAUGCUGAUGGAGCCAUGAUUAACUGUAAAGUGCUGAAAGAGGACAACGCCACUUCACUGCUCUGCAUAAAACAAAAUCACUUUACUGAACGUAAUCUUUUCCUGAGCUUUAGUGCUGUUUUUAAUGAUCUAGUGAAUUCUUUUAAAAGUACUAGACUGGAUUAUUUCAGUCUGGUUGAUUUGAACAGGAUUGCUGUUCUGUUGUAUUUUUAAGCAAACAUUUAAACGUCCUUAGCACCAGCACAUGACCUGCAAUCUUAUUCAGUCUAAAUUGUCUGCCAAUAAGUAUUAUUUUAUUUAUAUGACAUUUAAAGAUCAUAUAUUGCCUUGAUCAGGUUGAAGGCCUUUGUGUUCAUAUCACAACAUAUUUUAAAUUUAUUUUUAAAAGUAGACAUAACAAGGGUUAUUUUUCUAUAUUUUCCGUUAUUUUUAUAAUUGUAAUGUCUUGUUGUAUAUCACACAAUAUGUAUUUCUUUUAAUUAAUAAUUUCUUAAUAAUUUUUAUUUUAAAUUAAUGAAUUUUUAUACCUUUGUUAGAAAUUUUUUUCAGUUUAUACCUAAUUAAUAAUUAGAAAAUUAUGUACUGUAUUUUUUACAAUAUGUUUAAAAAAAUUAUUUUUCAAUCAUGCUAUUAAUUUUAAUUGUGCUUAUUUAAUUCAUUUAUUAUCUAUGUAUGAUUAGUAUGUAGCCUACAGGUUGCCUGUCAGACGUUAAAGUGCCAAAAAGUAUCUUAACCUGCAAGUCUGCCAGUCACUCAUAAUAGAUUAUGAUUUAGACUAUAAUUAUAAUAUUGUGGCGUGGGCGGGGUUUCGGGUAAUAACCAUCAUGCUUUGCGGGAGGGACUGUUAUGUGUUCACCGUGUUGAGGAGAGGUGUUUGGUUUAGUGGCUUCAGCCAGGGUAUGUGUGAUAUGUGUGAUUCUCUUUUGAGCCGUCUCAUGUGUUCGUGUUGUGAGAUUGUGCUACAUAAUAAACUACUCCCAG